rnacentral:lncRNA from 1 species
UUUUGGCACAAAUUUCUUUGAAUAUUUUUCAGCUUCAAUUUUUUUGUACUCUCAUUUGGGGACUAUGAUCAUAUGAAUGUUAGAUUUUUUUUUUUUUUUCUAUCUUUGGCUCUGUACUUUAUCUUUACUGGCACCAUGGGGAGUAGAGCUUUUAAAUGCCAGUCAGAAAUUAAAAUUCUAUCUCCCAAUUUGACCUUCUCUGACAUAACCAUGGUUAUGAGGGAAGACUGCCUUGUUACAGCUAGGUAUGGGUGUUUUUUUAGGCUACCCCCUCAGCUGUUGUCAGUAGGUAGGGGAUGCAGCCACGUUGUUUUCCCUGUGGUGGUUCUUGGAGCAGGGCAGUCUAAAAGUUCUUUUGCUUUGGAAGGUUGUCCCUUUCUGGAUUAUCUGGCUGCAGAGAUCAUACUUUUGUUGAGACAUUUUUCCUAUGUGUUUGUCAUUCCUAGUUUGCCAGCUUCUCUAGCACCUCAUCUGGGACAUAAGAGGCCAGAAAAGUCCCAAGGAACUCACUUCAGUGUCUAUCCUCAGGUCUUGAAUUCCAUAAAUAGUCUGCCUUCUCUCCAACUUUCAACAUCUUCCUGUAUUUGUGUUACAUAUUAUGUUCUGUGUUGUGAGCUGUACAUUUCUGGGGGAACAGGGAGAAGAGCAUCUAUUCCAACAUUUCUCAGAAUUGCAAAGUUGCUUUUUCUUCCUCACUGUUGUAUUUUGAAAGUUUGUAAGUUUUCUAGAUCCAAGUCUUUUGUAAAAUAUGUGAUUUGCAAAUAUUUUAUGCCUAGAUGUAGAUGGUGUUUUCAUUUUUUCAGCAGUGUCCUUCAUGGAACAAAAGUUUUUAACUUUGAUGAAGUCUAUUUUUUUUUUUAUUUUUUUCUCCCAUGGCUUGUGCUUUUGGUAUCAUGUCUAAGAAAUCUUUUCUUGAUCCCAGGUCAGAAAGAUUUUCUCUUAUGUCUCUAUAAAGUUUUUUUUCUUUGCAUUUAAAUUUAUGACAAUUUUUCGAAAGUGAGUUUUUAAAGUUUUUUUAUUGCAGUAGCAUUUGAUUAUAACAUUAUACAGCUUUCAGAUGUACAUCAUAANNNNNNNNNNNNNNNNN